rnacentral:rRNA from 1 species
UCCAGACUCCUACGGGAGGCAGCAGUGGGGAAUAUUGGGCAAUGGGCGCAAGCCUGACCCAGCAACGCCGCGUGAAGGAAGAAGGCUUUCGGGUUGUAAACUUCCUUUCUCAGGGACGAAGCAAGUGACGGUACCUGAGGAAUAAGCCACGGCUAACUACGUGCCAGCAGCCGCGGUAAUACGUAGGUGGCAAGCGUUAUCCGGAUUUACUGGGUGUAAAGGGAGCGUAGGCGGCGAUGCAAGUCAGAAGUGAAAGCCCGGGGCUCAACUCCGGGACUGCUUUUGAAACUGUAUGGCUAGAUUGCAGGAGAGGCAAGUGGAAUUCCUAGUGUAGCGGUGAAAUGCGUAGAUAUUAGGAGGAACACCAGUGGCGAAGGCGGCUUGCUGGACUGUAAAUGACGCUGAGGCUCGAAAGCGUGGGGAGCAAACAGGAUUAGAUACCCGGGUA